ACGCUCGACACCUACGAGGCAGCAGUGGGGAAUAUUGCACAAUGGGGGAAACCCUGAUGCAGCGACGCCGCGUGGAGGAAGAAGGUCUUCGGAUUGUAAACUCCUGUUGUUGGGGAAAAAGAGGAUGGUACCCAACAAGGAAGUGACGGCUAACUACGUACCAGCAGCCGCGGUAAUCUGAGCGGGCUGGCAAGGC
rnacentral:rRNA from 1 species